GGCUGCAGCUUGGCCCAUUGCGUGGGUAAGAAAACGGAGGUGCAGGAAGUGACCUGCCCACAGGCACCAGAGCUGAUCAGAGGCAGAGUGGAGGCUUGGGAGCCCCCAUUCUCCCAGGCUGACUUGGGAAAGAUUUCAUCUUGGGGUGGUGGGGGCUGGCUAAGUUACCUGGAGUGGAUCGCAGGCCUGGUCUGGGGGGCGCCCUUCUUUUCCGUUCAUUUUCUGGACCUGGAAGAGGAAGAGAAACCACAAGAAAGGAGGAAAUCCUGCCAUUCAUGACAACAUGGAUAAACCUUGAGGAAAUUAUGCCAAGUGAAAUAA